UUUUCAUUAUAUGCAAUAGUCAGCAGCAUUUACGGUUGUGGUAAAACUAAUGUAAUCACCAAGCUAUUCGUGACUUUUAUUUUGACAAAAGAUUUGAACAGGAAGUUACGAGCGGAAGUGUUAUUGUAGCCAUUUCGACCGUGCCACAACGAUGCCGACAGCUCUCUUUGCCACCCCUACAACGUGCUUGUUCAAGCAGCUCCUUUUCUUUCAGGUUUUGUGCUUAGAAAGAGUGACAUGAUGCAGGAUGGAGUUGCGAGGAGUUCCCGGACACGGUCAAAGAUGGCUGGAACAGUCGGAUGGAUUUGCAAUCAUGCAAUAAAUGCCCACAUAAGAUGCCAUGGUCAAAUGGUUGGAGAUCGUUGACAGUUUGCAGCUAUUGAUGAAAGUUGUUUCCGUAAUAAAAGCAAGUAUCACCACAGAAGGGCCGGUGCAACAUGGCGACGGAAAAAAAGUGGGUUUU